CGUGAGUAACCUGCCUUGGAGUGGGGAAUAACACAGUGAAAAUUGUGCUAAUACCGCAUAAUGCAUUUGGAUCGCAUGGUUCUGAAUGCCAAAGAUUUAUCGCUCUGAGAUGGACUCGCGUCUGAUUAGCUAGUUGGCGGGGCAACGGCCCACCAAGGCGACGAUCAGUAGCCGACCUGAGAGGGUGACCGGCCACAUUGGGACUGAGACACGGUCCAA
rnacentral:rRNA from 1 species